UCAGGACGAACGCUGGCGGCGUGCUUAACACAUGCAAGUCGAACGGAAAGGCCUGCUUUCCCUUGUGGAUUGCGGGUGCUCGAGUGGCGAACGGGUGAGUAACACGUGAGUGAUCUGCCCCCAACUUGGGUAUAAGCCUGGGAAACUGGGUCUAAUUCCCGAUAGGACUGCAGGGUGGUGCCUGUGGUGGAAAACGUUUUCUAGUGGUUGGGGAUGAGCUCGCGGCCUAUCAGCUUGUUGGUGGGGUAAUGGCCUACCAAGGCGGCGACGGGUAGCCGGCCUGAGAGGGUGGACGGCCACAUUGGGACUGAGAUACGGCCCAGACUCCUACGGGAGGCAGCAGUGGGGAAUAUUGCACAAUGGGCGGAAGCCUGAUGCAGCGACGCCGCGUGGGGGAUGACGGCCUUCGGGUUGUAAACUCCUUUCGACCGCGAGGAAGCCACCUGGUUGGAAGGGUGGUGACGGUAGUGGUAGAAGAAGCACCGGCUAACUACGUGCCAGCAGCCGCGGUAAUACGUAGGGUGCGAGCGUUGUCCGGAUUUACUGGGCGUAAAGAGCUCGUAGGUGGCUUGUCGCGUCGUCUGUGAAAGUCUGGGGCUUAACUCCGGGUGUGCAGGCGAUACGGGCUGGCUUGAGUGCUGUAGGGGAGACUGGAAUUCCUGGUGUAGCGGUGGAAUGCGCAGAUAUCAGGAGGAACACCGAUGGCGAAGGCAGGUCUCUGGGCAGUCACUGACGCUGAGGAGCGAGAGCAUGGGUAGCGAACAGGAU
rnacentral:rRNA from 1 species